AAUACUAAAAUGUUUCCUUGUUUCAUUUAUGUACCUGUUUUUAAACAAUUGAAUUAAAACUUUUCACUAAUAAAUGAAGACUAGCGAUGUUUCCACCAGAUGCAACCAUACUCAUUUACUAUAGCAGCCAUCUUGUUUAAGUUUUAUUUUUAUAAACUUAAGCGCGAGAUUCAGGGAGAAACCUCUCUAUUUUACAAAUGGCUGCUGUUCAUAUAGCAAAUCUUGCUCGCAGACACUGCUGUUUAAAGUUAAUUUCUGGCCUAUAUCGAUAUAUUUAGCCAUUGAUUUAGAUAAAUUCCAAGAGUCUUCCCACUGCUUCUCUGUAAAAAGAAGUUUCUCUUUGUUGGUUUCAAUUUCUUGAAGAAGCCUCUCAAACUGCUUUUUGUAUUCCUAAAAAUAAACAAUGCACAACAAA